rnacentral:rRNA from 1 species
UACGAGGGGGGCGAGCGUUGUUCGGAAUUAUUGGGCGUAAAGGGCGCGUAGGUGGCGAAGCAAGUCAACGGUGAAAGCUCGACGCUCAACGUCGAGUCGGCCGUCGAUACUGCAUCGCUCGAGCACUGUAGAGGCAGAUGGAAUUCCGGGUGUAGCGGUGGAAUGGCGUAGAGAUCCGGAAGAACACCGGUGGCGAAGGCGGUCUG